rnacentral:rRNA from 1 species
AAAUUGAAGAGUUUGAUCAUGGCUCAGAUUGAACGCUGGCGGCAGGCCUAACACAUGCAAGUCGAGCGGUAGCACAGAGAGCUUGCUCUCGGGUGACGAGCGGCGGACGGGUGAGUAAUGUCUGGGAAACUGCCUGAUGGAGGGGGAUAACUACUGGAAACGGUAGCUAAUACCGCAUAACGUCGCAAGACCAAAGUGGGGGACCUUCGGGCCUCAUGCCAUCAGAUGUGCCCAGAUGGGAUUAGCUAGUAGGUGGGGUAACGGCUCACCUAGGCGACGAUCCCUAGCUGGUCUGAGAGGAUGACCAGCCACACUGGAACUGAGACACGGUCCAGACUCCUACGGGAGGCAGCAGUGGGGAAUAUUGCACAAUGGGCGCAAGCCUGAUGCAGCCAUGCCGCGUGUGUGAAGAAGGCCUUCGGGUUGUAAAGCACUUUCAGCGGGGAGGAAGGCGAUAAGGUUAAUAACCUCAUCGAUUGACGUUACCCGCAGAAGAAGCACCGGCUAACUCCGUGCCAGCAGCCGCGGUAAUACGGAGGGUGCAAGCGUUAAUCGGAAUUACUGGGCGUAAAGCGCACGCAGGCGGUCUGUCAAGUCGGAUGUGAAAUCCCCGGGCUCAACCUGGGAACUGCAUUCGAAACUGGCAGGCUAGAGUCUUGUAGAGGGGGGUAGAAUUCCAGGUGUAGCGGUGAAAUGCGUAGAGAUCUGGAGGAAUACCGGUGGCGAAGGCGGCCCCCUGGACAAAGACUGACGCUCAGGUGCGAAAGCGUGGGGAGCAAACAGGAUUAGAUACCCUGGUAGUCCACGCCGUAAACGAUGUCGAUUUGGAGGUUGUGCCCUUGAGGCGUGGCUUCCGGAGCUAACGCGUUAAAUCGACCGCCUGGGGAGUACGGCCGCAAGGUUAAAACUCAAAUGAAUUGACGGGGGCCCGCACAAGCGGUGGAGCAUGUGGUUUAAUUCGAUGCAACGCGAAGAACCUUACCUGGUCUUGACAUCCACAGAACUUUCCAGAGAUGGAUUGGUGCCUUCGGGAACUGUGAGACAGGUGCUGCAUGGCUGUCGUCAGCUCGUGUUGUGAAAUGUUGGGUUAAGUCCCGCAACGAGCGCAACCCUUAUCCUUUGUUGCCAGCGGUUAGGCCGGGAACUCAAAGGAGACUGCCAGUGAUAAACUGGAGGAAGGUGGGGAUGACGUCAAGUCAUCAUGGCCCUUACGACCAGGGCUACACACGUGCUACAAUGGCAUAUACAAAGAGAAGCGACCUCGCGAGAGCAAGCGGACCUCAUAAAGUAUGUCGUAGUCCGGAUUGGAGUCUGCAACUCGACUCCAUGAAGUCGGAAUCGCUAGUAAUCGUAGAUCAGAAUGCUACGGUGAAUACGUUCCCGGGCCUUGUACACACCGCCCGUCACACCAUGGGAGUGGGUUGCAAAAGAAGUAGGUAGCUUAACCUUCGGGAGGGCGCUUACCACUUUGUGAUUCAUGACUGGGGUGAAGUCGUAACAAGGUAACCGUAGGGGAACCUGCGGUUGGAUCACCUCCUUA